rnacentral:rRNA from 1 species
GGGUUGUGAGGUUAAGCGACUAAGCGUACACGGUGGAUGCCCUGGCAGUCAGAGGCGAUGAAGGGCGUGCUAAUCUGCGAUAAGCGCCGGUAAGGUGAUAUGAACCGUUAUAACCGGCGAUACCCGAAUGGGGAAACCCAGUGUGACUCGUCACACUAUCAUUAACUGAAUCCAUAGGUUAAUGAGGCGAACCGGGGGAACUGAAACAUCUAAGUACCCCGAGGAAAAGAAAUCAACCGAGAUUCCCCCAGUAGCGGCGAGCGAACGGGGAGGAGCCCAGAGCCUGAAUCAGCAUGUGUGUUAGUGGAAGCGUCUGGAAAGGCGCGCGAUACAGGGUGACAGCCCCGUACACAAAAGCGCAUGUGCUGUGAGCUCGAUGAGUAGGGCGGGACACGUGGUAUCCUGUCUGAAUAUGGGGGGACCAUCCUCCAAGGCUAAAUACUCCUGACUGACCGAUAGUGAACCAGUACCGUGAGGGAAAGGCGAAAAGAACCCCGGCGAGGGGAGUGAAAAAGAACCUGAAACCGUGUACGUACAAGCAGUGGGAGCACCCUUUGGGUGUGACUGCGUACCUUUUGUAUAAUGGGUCAGCGACUUAUAUUCUGUAGCAAGGUUAACCGAAUAGGGGAGCCGGAGGGAAACCGAGUCUUAAUUGGGCGUUAAGUUGCAGGGUAUAGACCCGAAACCCGGUGAUCUAGCCAUGGGCAGGUUGAAGGUUGGGUAACACUAACUGGAGGACCGAACCGACUAAUGUUGAAAAAUUAGCGGAUGACCUGUGGCUGGGGGUGAAAGGCCAAUCAAACCGGGAGAUAGCUGGUUCUCCCCGAAAGCUAUUUAGGUAGCGCCUCGUGAAUUCAUCUCCGGGGGUAGAGCACUGUUUCGGCUAGGGGGCCAUCCCGGCUUACCAACCCGAUGCAAACUGCGAAUACCGGAGAAUGUUAUCACGGGAGACACACGGCGGGUGCUAACGUCCGUCGUGAAGAGGGAAACAACCCAGACCGCCAGCUAAGGUCCCAAAGUCAUGGUUAAGUGGGAAACGAUGUGGGAAGGCCCAGACAGCCAGGAUGUUGGCUUAGAAGCAGCCAUCAUUUAAAGAAAGCGUAAUAGCUCACUGGUCGAGUCGGCCUGCGCGGAAGAUGUAACGGGGCUAAACCAUGCACCGAAGCUGCGGCAGCGACACUGUGUGUUGUUGGGUAGGGGAGCGUUCUGUAAGCCUGUGAAGGUGUGUCGUGAGGCAUGCUGGAGGUAUCAGAAGUGCGAAUGCUGACAUAAGUAACGAUAAAGCGGGUGAAAAGCCCGCUCGCCGGAAGACCAAGGGUUCCUGUCCAACGUUAAUCGGGGCAGGGUGAGUCGACCCCUAAGGCGAGGCCGAAAGGCGUAGUCGAUGGGAAACGGGUUAAUAUUCCCGUACUUGGUGUUACUGCGAAGGGGGGACGGAGAAGGCUAUGUUGGCCGGGCGACGGUUGUC